rnacentral:tRNA from 2 species
GGCGGUGUAGCUCAGAUGGCUAGAGCAUCCGGUUCAUACCCGGAAGGUCAUGGGUUCGACCCCCUUCGCCGCUA